rnacentral:rRNA from 1 species
UACGUAGGAUGCGAGCGUUGUCCGGAAUCACUGGGCGUAAAGGGCGCGUAGGUGGCGACCCAAGUCGAUGGUGAAAGCUCGCCGCUCAACGGCGAGUCGGCCACCGAUACUGGGUUGCUCGAGCACUGUAGAGGCUAAUGGAAUUCCGGGUGUAGCGGUGGAAUGCGUAGAGAUCCGGAAGAACACCGGUGGCGAAGGCGGUUAGCUGGGCAGUUGCUGACACUGAGGCGCGACAGCGUGGGGAGCAAACAGG